UACCCUUGACAUGCCAGGAAUCCUGAAGAGAUUUGGGAGUGCUCGAAAGAGAACCUGGACACAGGUGCUGCAUGGCCGUCGUCAGCUCGUGUUGUGAGAUGUUGGGUUAAGUCCCGCAACGAGCGCAACCCUUGUCAUUAGUUGCUACGAAAGGGCACUCUAAUGAGACUGCCGGUGACAAACCGGAGGAAGGUGGGGAUGACGUCAGGUCAUCAUGGCCCUUAUGGGUAGGGCUACACACGUCAUACAAUGGCCGGUACAGAGGGCUGCCAACCCGCGAGGGGGAGCUAAUCCCAGAAAACCGGUCGUAGUCCGGAUCGCAGUCUGCAACUCGACUGCGUGAAGUCGGAAUCGCUAGUAAUCGCGGAUCAGCUUGCCGCGG
rnacentral:rRNA from 1 species